GCAGCUGUGACUCCCAUUAUUCCUGGAAAUAUGAGGGGAAAUGGCUCGGGCUUUCCAGCCUCAGCUCCCCUUCCCUCCUGUCCUCUGGCUACAAGAGCCACAGCCAGCACCUGUGGCCGGGGUGCUCCACAGGACACACAUUGCAGGGGGCUGAGCUCAAAAUGGCAGUCAGCAAUGAGCAGGGCGGUGAGAAAGUCCAAGAGAAACUGCAAGGUAAAAACAAGCGCCUUCUCUUACAAGAAAUGACUCCAUCGCAUGGUUAGAUCCAUCACCCCAUAUGCUGGGUCACGGCGGUGCCGCGCGAGCACGCUGCUAUUAUCUGUUUGCAAUCACAUCUCGGUCGGUCUUUCUGCUUAAUGCACGAAAAGCAGAGCUAAUCCGAUUCACUCCUUCUUUCUGCUUAAUGUCUUCAGUUCCCAAGCAGGCUCUGCGCUGCUUCAAGUGAUGCUCAACUAACACUAGCCAGGAGCGCGCAGUGCAAAAGAAGAUGGAACUACCUAUUAAUUUUAGCCUUUCUUUCCACCUAUUAUGGCUAAAAUUCCUUCUACACUUGAAGCUUUGCAAACAAGAGUCAGGAAAUUCCCAUUUCCCUCUCUACACCACACCCGGCUCAUGCAUGAGCUCCCUCCUCCAAGCUGCUCCUCCCGUGGUAUCUGGGCAAUUAAUUACAGCACAGACCUAUCGGGCUUUCCUCUCAUCCUCAGGGACAGCUUUUUUUUUUAGGUAUUUCCUGGCUGGGAACCGCCACAGAAGGAUGUCUUCUGCUGGCACCAUAACACCCUCUCUUUGCUAAUCUAUCUAAAGUGACCGCCACGUGCUCUCCUCCCUCUGUUCCCUCAACACUAUUUGAUUACUGCAGUCCUGCACGUGAACUCUAACGCACCCUCAGCAUUUCCAGAGCGAGGACACGGCGGCUUCGAACAGGGCCCUGGCACGGCUGCUCCUCUCCUGCAUUUUGCCACCAUUUGCAAGGCAACUGGAGCAUUGCUGGAGUCAGCUGCGAUGCCUUCACCUGCACCAGAGAGACCACUGCAACCACGAAGGCCCCAAACUGGGCAGAUAACACGAAAACUCAGCAGAAAGAUGCAGGAGAAGAAUGGCGUGCAGAAACACCCAUGAUCACGAGCCAGGCUGAGCAGCACAGGAGAGUCACCCAUUGCAAGUACAAUGGAAAGAGUUGCCAGAACAGCAACAAAAAUCAGCAAGUAUUUACAAGAGAUGAGAAAGAGAUGUAGGUGGAAGGCAGACGUGCCAGGAUACAUAUCUCUGUCCAGAAGGUAUAAAAAAAAUAACCGAGACUGCAGAGAUGAAGGCACAAUCAGCCCCCACACCUGCACACAGCCCCCACCUGAUACCCACUGUAUCAGCCAGAUCAACGGCAGCUCCUGAGAAGACCCCAACUAUCCAGCUCCUUCACCAGCAUCUUCCUCGAGUCUGCAUGCAAGGGGGCGGAAGAAAAACAUACCUCGCAAUGAGGUUACUUACAGCGUUUUUCUCUACUGCCCCUCUCCUAUAAAUGUGGGGUGGGGCUUUUUUUGUUUGUUUUUAAUAGUGCAGCUGGCUUAUAAGCGUGUCAGAUUUAUAAAAACAUAUCCUUGAAAACAAAGCCACUUUGUGCUCAGCAUAUCCAGUGGCACCAUUAUUUAUUAUCAAUACACUGGUUCUUUCCUUUAUUCAUUCCAUCCCUGGAACAAACCCACUGUAACAGCCACCCAGUGUAUAAUCUUCCCAUGUAAAGCAACGCAACCCCACAAUAAUCCUUCUCUUCCCAUAAUGUCUUCAAAUUCCAAUGAGAAGAAUUUAGGCUUAAAUGCUUAAAAAAAAAAAGAAAGAAAAAAGAAAACUGCAGCAGGAAACCAAUCUCUAACAACUCUCAAGUUGGAGCAAAUUCCCCCAUCCCUCCCUAUUUCUGUUUGGAAAUGGCUGCACAAACAUCUCCAGUUUGUGCAACACACCAAUUGCAACCUGUCCCUCCCUCAGUCGGUCCACGCACGCAUGGGCUCCCUGCACCCUGCUGCUUUUGGCAAACAACUCUUUAGUGGCAUCAUCUUCAACUCCACGCUUUAUAAAAUUCAGCAGACAGACACGUAUCUGCUCCUUUAGUCAUAAAGCAAUCACCGAAGGCCAAGAGGUGUCUCCGUCUCGCCUCCCAAAUGCACGCUCUGACCCGCACCGUGCCCCGCUAAGUACACACGUGGGCCACACGUGUCUCUUCCCUGCCAUCAGUGAAGGAUGAGGCAGAAACACCGAAAGCAAAAGCAAAGCUGAGGCAGAAAGGCUGUUCGCAUCAUUCAGUGGAAGCAAAGUUCUCCUUGGCCCCUUCCCAAGGAGCUUUGCCUACUGCCCUACACAUACACGUGCAGCCCAGCCGCGUCCCCUGCUGCUACCAAAGCCCCACGCUGAAGGAACCCCGCCGAGGUCACCCACCCAGGCUGACGUCUGAGCUUCAGCACACCCCUGGUUUCACCCCCAGAGCAAGACAACACCGUUCUGAGCUGCCUCAGCAGCAUCCCACAAGGCUUUCCCAGUACCUGCUGGCACCUGAAAAUUAUGAGAGCAGUUGCCUCUGGGGCCACCACAGUCGACGUUUGAAAGAUGGAGGGGUGUUUUCCUGGCAGCGUGGUACCCAGCUUCGGACCUGGCUCACCACGGACGUGCAGAAAGCUCUCCAGACAUCACCCUGCCCUUGCCAUCCAUCCCAGACCUCAAGGACUACCUGGUCCCACCAGCUCUGCCUGAGCAGCACCACUGCCACACGCGGCGAUGCUCUUCCCCAGCCCACAGCUGUCCUCUCCUAGGGGAGGGCUACGGCUACUGUUCUCUAAGCCCUUUCAUAUCCUUAGGCUCUGUCUGUUAGCAAAUACCAUAACAACAGUGGGCUCUUCUCCUGGGGAGGUGGUGAAACUCAACUUUUUCCUUUUCCCUUUGGAAAGCACAGCUUGGAAACGGGAUCAGCAUCUGGAAGCACACACGAGUUGAUCCCAGAGAAAGAAUGAGAGGAGCGAGGGGAAGGGAGGGAGCCGAGAAUGAAGACUGAGGGCGAGGUUUCACGUUACAGCUGAACGAGGCUAACAGUUCACCGCUGCCAAAAGAGGGGGGCCCCAUUUCCACCUUUCUUUCAUUCCCUACCUUUCACUUCUGGCAACACAAAUCUCGCCCCUCCCUCACGGCAGCUCUGGUACUAGCCUGAACCUGGUGAGCAGGUUCAGCUCUUUUAUGUUUUUUUUUCCUAAAUAUUUUCAGCCAAGUCAGUUUUCCGAAAGCUGCACAAACCGAACCCGUGUAGCACCAGAGCAGCACAAGGCAAGGCACGACCACCCCUCCUGGACGGAGCCGGCAGCCAGACUGGUUCGGCCACAGCAACAAAACCCACCCUGGGCUGCACGAACCUGUGGUGCCACCAGACAAGGACACCGGCCAGCACAACAGAAGCGGUCGACCUGAAAAGCCUGCAAUAGAUAUGCUUGCUAAUAAUCUUAAAACAUGAGGUUUUACCUGUUAAUAGGCUCUACCUACCGGUAGCCUUCCUGAACUGGAUGGUGAAGGCAGCCGUGAAGGUAAAGACUGACAUUAAAACUGAGCAGACCCAAACCAGACAAAAAUAGGGGUGGUACUGCAGGAUCUCCAAUAAUAAUUCUGCCUCUUUUUAAAUUGGACUCUUAAUAUCAAACAAGAUGGCUGCCUUCAUCACUAUGCUCAGAAAUGUCUGUUUCCAUUACAAAUUUAACAAUUAGUUUCAGGGUGCUUGUGGUAAAGCAUUUUUCUUUCCCCAUCAGCUUCUACAUCAGAUGAACAAAAUAAUGCAGUUCUCUUCGAUUUAAAAAAAAAUAAAAUCAAGCUCAUAUUAGUUCAGUCUUUCUUCCCUUCCACCUCCUCAGCUCAAUUACUAAAAGCAAUUUACAGACAAUAAAUGCAACUUCACAGCUGCUUGUAUGAAGCAUUCCCUUUAUUUUAUAGAUGAGGAGGAUACAGUCUACACAGAAAUUAAUAUCAGCGAGGUCUGCUUCAAAGCUGGGUAAGGAAGAGGAGCAGACAAACUCUUAAAGAAUACAGAUCAUGCCUGCACGCCAGUAAAACCAGUAAUGAAGGGUUAGGGAUGUCACCAGUGGGAUGUCAAUUCCUUGAACCUAUCUGCUGAAGUGCAGCAACAAAUAAAAGCCUGCUUUGGGGUGCUGCUUUUUGGUUUUAUUCAGUUUUUAUUAGGUUCCUGCACGAUCACCAGGAACAGAGGAUUUGCAGCUAGAAAUUCUGCGUGCAUCGUUUUGCCAGCGAAAACAUGCCAGCCAGGAGAGAGCCCAGCGCUUCGUCGUAGCCUCACGGGCUUCCGCAGGACCUGGGCCUGCUGCUAAAAUCGCCACCCGCGACUUGGAGAAAGCACCGGGAGUAGCACCGCCAAAGAGAGAGAGAAAAAAAAAAAAAAGCGCAGGCACUCUUGCGAUGCUAACUGCUCCUUCAGGUGUGAUAAAAACGCACGGCCAACUCUCCUCCCUCCAGGCCUCCCUGGCUGCCGGAGCCACGCGCCAGCACGCACAGGCCAGCGCCGGGCCUGAGUCACCUGCACAGGCCCCAGGGGUCUCGGCUCUGUGACAGACCGGGGCACUGGUGCUGGAGACGAAGGCAGUGUUAAUUUUGGCACUCCUUAAUCACAUUUGCUAGCAAACGUAACGCCGCCGGGUCAGUAAAUCCACCCUCCUCCAUCCACCCCAGCGGGCCUGUCUUGACACCUUCCCCUCUUCAGCCAACAGCUCCGUGUUUCCGUAUCCCUGACCGACACGGGCUGGUUUUUGUACAACUACAGCCCUUGGAAAACUGAUUUAGGAUUAAAUUCGUUUCUAGCCUGCAUACGAAUACCAAGCACGCUUAAACCAAUGGGGCACUGGGGGCUUCUCUACUUGACUAGCUUAAAACCAGAAGCCGUAUCCUGCAUGCAUCAAAGAACAGAUAGGUGUCAAGAAGGCCCCAAAACCAACUGAAAUAAAGCCAACACAAGAGAUUUGGAAUUGUAAGAUCUCUCACACAGGGAGAGCUGGUAAACGCCAACCCAUUUCUAGCAGGGCUGCCAUUUUCUGCAUUUUCGCUGCAGCAAGUACUGAAGUUCGUGCCUAUUCCACCCGGUCCCACAACGCCAUCGCAGCCCAGCACUACCGUGGAAAGCGGCUGUGAAGAUGCAGCCGCUGCAGGAGGCACCUGCCCCAGCAAGGACUUCACACGCAGACCUCCCAGUCUGUGUGCCCCUUCCACACGCUGCCUGGGGUGCCCACACUACCCCAACAAGCACCGAGACCUCCCAGCAGCUGUAGGACAGCAGGAAGGGAGAGAUGGCCAGCUGGAGUCCGGACCUCCACGACCAGAACGCCACGUCCAGACCUCCACGACCAGACCUCCACGACCACCACCAUCCCAUCCCCUCAACCUCCGGCCAGGCCCCAGCACCCUUCCCUCUCCCAAACUCUUCCAAAGGGGAUGGACCGGAGAAGAUAGGAUUGGCUCAGGCUGAGAAUUUCAUUUCUGAGCUUGGGAGAUCUGCGGCGGAGACCGAGCCACUGAUAUUUUUCUAAUAUAAGGAACAUAUAAGAUGCCUAGAAUUUGAUAGCUGCUUUUUAAUUAAAUUGAAAUAAGUAAAUCACAGCCCGUUGCCAUGGAGAAUGAACAGACACAGCCUCUUGACUCCAGGGCAGGAUCAAGCAGGAGAGGCAGACAAGGCUGUGAAAUUAAAAACACCUAUUUUAAAGCAAAUGGUCUUGAUAAUUAGCAAAAAAUGUGGCAUAGGGAAAUAAUAUAACCAUAUGGCAGGAAGUGGUUUUCAAGGUGAACUACAAAGCUGUUUUAAAUAAAUGAAUAAACUGCUGGAGCUGCUGGGUCACUCGCAGAACCAUAUACGCAGGAUUAGACGUCAUUUAAAAAAAUAUACAAAAAAAAAAAGUAAUUAGCUCUUCUUUUCACUUUCCUGCCUAUAGUCUACAUCUGUGUUUGUUCUUAUUUUUAAGGACUUGUUUCAAGCGAUUAACGUUUGCACCUAUUUGCAGCUACCAGCGAGCCGUCAAACUCGCACGUUUUCAAAAGCCUUGCAGCUCACCCUGAAGCGAGAACCAAGUUUGUAGGAUAUAAAACCUUUUAUCUCUUCCUCGGUGUCAUUACACAAUCCCAGCCAGGUCAUCCGAUGCUAAUAAUCGCUCCUGAAGCUGCGCGUCUCUGCGAUGACUUCCACAACAGAGAGAGAGCCGGGGGGGUCACGCACACCACGCGCCGGACCCCGCGAUGCCCCGCUGCAGAAGAGGAGCUCGGAGGGACGGGGAGGCUGAGCACGGCAUCCCCCCUGCUCCUGCUCCUGCUCCUGCCCGCUGCCAGCUCACCCUUCAAAGGCUGUGCGCGAAGAGGGGGCCGGAGAGUUUGUGCUGCUCCUGCUCUGCAGGCAGGCUGUCUCGUGGCCGUUGUCCCUGCCCUUUCAAACCCCUUCUGGUCUGCUCAGAUAUGAAAGGCGCACAGCGAGAGGCUCCCUCAUUACCUUUCUGAGCCCAGACAGAGCAAACCUGAGCAAGACUGUCUUACGGUUUCCAGCGAGCAUAUGGCCAAAGUGCAUCAAAUUCAUAAUAGCUUAAGAAUACUUGAAAUAAAUUCUACCCGAUGACUCAGUUUCAAAAAUGUGCUGUGCAUUUUUUUUUUAAAGGGAAGGGACAGACAACCUAAUCUUCACUUCAAACCUCUCGCCCAGUCUAGGGGAAAAACCAACCUUUCCUCCUUAUUUUGUAAGGACACAAGCUGGCAGCCACAGCCAUUAGUCUUCCACGGCAGCUAAUGACCCACACGAAGCAAACUGUCAGGAUCCCAGUCCAGGCCUUUGUGACACAGCUGGUUACAUUAAAAACAGUCAUAUUUUCAGCACUAAUCAGCAGAAGCUGAGCUGGCUAUUGACAGAUUCUCCCCUGGUCCAUCCCCCCCCCAGACCAAGAAACAGCCCGCAAAGGGAAGGGAGCCAGGAUAGGUACCACAGAUAAAGAAGGGCUGGGGGAAAAAACAAGCCCUCACAAUCAGUAUUCCCUGCUCACCGUUUUGCCCCAAGUUUGGAGCGUUUACUGCUAUAACUGAAGUCACACUAGGUAAGAUUUGUAGCCUACAUUAAAAAUAAACUCGAGGCCCAAGCCUGCACGAAGAAGUGCAUAAACCUGCACUUCGGGUCCACCCUGCAGAGUGCUGCCGAGGACCCCAGAGCCACCCUGGGCAAGCCCCGGGGCAUGGGCAGCACGAAGGGGCCAGCUCUCAGUCCUCGAGCACUGGACGCCCCGGCCCUGAACAGGGCAGCAUCGACAGGGCUUGGUCCUGCCCUCAGAGGCACUGGGCACACAGGGGACAGCGGUGGCUUGCUCCUCCUCGCCCCUUAGCUUCUCUUGUUUUGAAUUCUGAUUUAAGGAGCGUUAGUUAGCACCAGCACGGCCAGCCCAGCGCCUUCCCUUGGAAGGGAACUGCGGUUUCUCCUCGCUCCCCACAAGCCAAGAUAAGCGCUGGAAGGAAGCCACAGUCCCAGGGGCACUCCCAGCUGGACAGAGCCGGGGCACGCGGCCACCCAGCGCACGAGGAAGAUGCUGGCCGAGCUCAGGAGUGGAUUAUUUCAGUAUCACAGCAGCGAGGGUCACGGGCCAAGAAGGAAAUUGAAAAAGGAGAACAACAACAACAAGAAGCAGCUGGCCUCCGACGCCAGCUCCGGCCGUGCCACCAUCUCCGCUCCCAGCGGGGUCUCCGGCCCGACGCCUUUGUCGCUGGAGGACGGCGUCACCCGCGUGUCACCCACGGGCACUGUCGACAACUUCAAGUCACGGUCCCGGUGGGCACGUACGUCCCAGGGAAAAGGCAGCCGGUGCCAGGACGGUGCUUUAACAGGACAUGGGAUCACCGCAACGCUCAUCCCAAAAGCUCAUUACAGGAAGCAAAUCUGCAGUUGAAAACAUGAAAUAGAACCAGAUCCCGCCAGAGCAUCAAACAUGAAAUACGCCAGCGCCGCUCCACAGACGGCAUAAUCAAUGCCCUUCUUCCCACAGCAAAACCACCGAAAUUCUUUGUUCCUGCGCAUAGUCGUCCCAAAUCUCUACAGUUCAUCACUUCCUCCAGCAGAUGAGAUACCCCCCCAGAAACCACGUGAGUGAAAAUGAAUAAUUGCCAUCUUAGAAUGAGUGCGUACAGGCAGCCAAUAAAGGACAGAAACACAAACUCAUCAUUAGCAGAAUGUUGUGUCGGAAAAUAACAACCCUCGCCCCUCAAUCCUUAUCCCAAAGGAGACCUGCAAAAUACUCCCAGAAGAUAAAUCUCAUAAUUUAAACUUGUCAGCCCCUAGAUACUAAAACUCAUGGGUUUAACAGAGGUGUUGCUUUCCUAGCCCAUUGCAGCCUCCCUGCUGACCUCUCCCUUUGUCACCCACACAAACAACCCUUUCUUCGUUAGUGGUCCAGCAGAGAACUAGCAGCUUGUCAGUCACUUCUGCUCACACCCUUUUGCACUCCAUAGGUGCUCCUUUUUUUUCUCAAGUGGUCAAAUUGAUUAAUAUAAUUAGAUUAAACUAAGAGCAAUUGCAUCUAGCCUGUAGUUAGCUUGAAUUUUGCUGCUUUCUGUCAGAUCUGAUAAAGAGACCCUGAGCCCAAAAGCUUGUUUGCUUUUUCCAGUUAUAUCAGUUGAUCUAAUAAAAGAUAUUACCUUUCUCCACAAACCUUGCUUCCCUAGGAUCUUCAGACCAUCACAGCUACAACAACAACACUUUUACUGUCUUGCCUGCUCUAACUGAUUCUUCUAGAUUCUCUUAUCUAUAAAAUAGAAUAAGAUAAAACAUAUUCUGUAUCGAUUCUUAUGCUGUUUUCACAACCAUAAUAUUCAAGUACCUUCUAGGACUACAUUAACUGAUCAACUGUCACGUGUAGGGUUUGUUUUUCUUUGUCUUGUUCUCUCUCCCCAGGAAGAAAAUGAUGCACAGAGCAGUGUUUUGGUUCUGUGAGUUGCUUUUUUUUCCCUCCUCUAUUCUUGUUGCUCUGCAUUUGUACCAGAGAAAAUGAGGAUGAUGGCAAUUUCUGUGAUAGACCUUAUUUCCCAGGGAAGUUAAUUUCAGAGUGUUGAGCCACCCGUAGAAAGAUGUCUCCUGCACAAAGGAACAUUAUAAUAUGUCAUUCCCAACGAGAGAAAAGCUAAUCUGUAUUCUUGACACUUGGGACAGAAACUUCCUAAGAAAAAAACAGCUUUUUCCCUUCUCCAGAAAAAGAGUUUCGACCCAUGAUCCUCAGUAUGCGAGGUUCCGACAGAUUGCUGCGAAUUUUUAACAUACAGGCCAGCACUCUGUACAGCUAUAAACAGGAAUAUCUGGAAACCGCAAAGGGUAACAUACCUUUUAAUCGCACUGAAACACGCUGCCAUAGGACUGCUGGGAGGGAGACGGUGGAAAUAAAUUAUUUCAUGCUAAAACACAGAGAGCGUUUACUCAUGUGUAAGGAGUCACGCUGCCGCUCCUCAAAGAGGAACCCUAAGCAAUCCCACGUGUCUGAAAGGCAGUAGGUACAACAUACGAGUUACUGAAAGGUAGAAACUGAGGUGAAGAGAGGAAUCAUCUGUGCUCAAGCACUGAAAGCAGAAAUACCAGAAGACCUCAGGGAGACAGUAGACAGCAGAUUUAAUAUGUUUUUGCAAUGUGAUACGGCAGCAAAAAUCAUGCAGUUAAUUUAAUUUGGGGUUGUAAAGGCAGAGACCUCUUCUCAGAGAUAUAGGCAAUAGUCCCAUUUUUUAAUAUAGUGGCAAGACCGCAGUUUGAAGACAUGUUUAGUUCUGGACAGUUCGGUGCUAGCUAGAUGUCAACAACUUGGAGGCAAAUAAAUAAAAAAAAAAAAAAGGAACAUAAAAUGAUAAAAAAGCUGGAAGGGAUUACAGUGUGUGUAGGUUGGCCAAAUAACAACCGUGAAGAGCAUCAUGGGAAUUGUGUGCGAGAAUUUCAGGGUGCAGAAACACCAGGGAGCGAGAAAGGCUGCUUAGGGUUGUCUGAUGGAGUAUAAAUGAUAUCCAUGUAAAUGAAAUGAAGCAAAGGAAUCAUUAAUCUGCAAGACAGCAUCUCAGAAGAGCUCCCAUCACCUGAGUCACAGAAGACAAUCAAGGAACAGUGACUGCAGGAAGGGAUUAGAUGAGGACGGUAUGCCUGUGGGAUGUCUCAUCCCUGCCCGCCUAGCUGCUCCCUAACUGGGACAUCUGCAGAGCAAUAGGUCCCAGCCCUGUACAUCGUGGAAACUUUCCCUUUCUGCUCCAUUGCUGGAGAUACUUGAAGACCAAAAUAACCAUGCUAAGUUCCAGCAGGUGACCAUGGAAGGAGUGCUGUAUUCACAGGGAUCCAGGGGGUGAAAAACUUCAGAGUUUUUCCCUUUUACCACUGGGAUUUUCUGGAGAUGUCACUGGCUCAUCGUCUGGUAAGGAUGGCGGUGAUACCACUCCUGUGUUUUAAUAUUGUCAUCAUGACGUUCUCUUGGAUUACUUAGAGCUUUGAGUUGUUGUCCUGAGCAGCACUCACCUCUUCCAAAAAGUCUGUGGCACCCAGAGACAGCAAUUAAUUGAAAUGAAAAAAAUAAAAAUCAGAGGCUUUGUUAUUCCUUAAUUAGAGUAAUGAGAUCAAAGCAAGUCCUUUUUCUAACACAGUAGGAAAGCCAACUUGAACUUGUACCCAUAGCACCUUUAUAUCAUGUUGUGCCAUCACAUAUCCCGGCCUCCUAGCACAGGAACCCGACAGCACAGUAUGUCGCUCCCAACCAGGGCUGACACACCGUGAUGCCAUCCAUCCUGAAUGUACCACACACGCAUUGCUGAAAA